CCUAACCUCAAGGUACAGAACCUUCUACCAGGUCCCUCAUCUUCCUGCAGGAUCUUCUUCCCUUUUUAUUGCUGGAGAACAUCAUUACCUCCUCCCACUAACUCCUGGACCCUUCUUUAGCCCAUCUCUCUGAGUUUUACAGAUAGGAAUCUCAACUCAUAGAAAGGAAGGAUUAAACCCACAACAUGCUCUGUCUCACGGCAGAGUUCCCCGGGCUUGAGCUGGGAGCUUAACCUUGUGCUGCAUGGAAAUGCAUGGACAAAGGUCUAUGUUCUAAGGAAACAAAGUUCCAGGCUGGGCCAGCAUACUCAGAGCAACAAAGACCCAGGGACCUCUGGUCAUCUGGGUGACUUGGACUGUAGCACAAGUAAGGACUUGAAUGAGAUCUUCUGCCAAAAUGCCUCUGGGAGAGAUGAAUUCUGCUACAGAUUUCAUAUCUCUCUGAAUGGAUAUUUGAUUGGCACCUGACUUUAAAGCAGGCAUUUAGCCUCUUCCUUUAUCUAAAAUAGACUGGGUGAACUGUACUCUAGAAGUGCCUAAUGUGUUCCACAAAGGAAAAGGCAACCCUAGUGACCGGCAUGAACUGACACUGUGACGCUGUAAAGACAGGUUUUACUAACUUCUGUGCAGGCAGAUGCUUACAUCUCCAGCAGGGAGGCCAAACCUCUAAUGACAAUUCUCUUCUGGUCAAAAUGUCACCUCCAGCAUCUGCUACCUGACCUUGCCUGCAGAAAAGAUAAAUAUCAAGUUUAUGUCAUUUUGAUCCUCAGCUCUAGCGCUGUGAAAGAGGAGUGAGAAAACAGACCUGCUACGUGGAAUAUUUCUCCUCUUUCCUUGUCAGCGUCAAUCCCUCCACCAUACAGCAGCUGGAAUGCAAGUUCCAUUUCAGGUCACACACAGUCUCCAAGAACAGGCCUGGAUUUCCAAUGAAUAGCUCCUCCAUUACCCCCUAAAGGCUCUCAGUGUUCUCCCCAAUCUUAUCCCCAUCAUUGUACUACUUCCUUCUUGCACUGCCUCACAGCCUGCUUUUAUUUUCCAGAGUGGUAUUUUCAAGCUGAGGUAGGCACUGACAUAAACAAAUAAAGAAGUCAUAUAAAUCUCAUCUUCUUUCUACAAAGCAUGAACUUUCCGCCUCCAAAUUCGUUAUCUGAAGCCUGCACUGAAAUCUUUUUUUCCCUUGUUCUUCUCCAAAACAUGAAGUGUUGUUAUAUGAUCAUUAACUGUAAACUACGGUACAUUAGGGUAAGAGAUUGAAUUAUCUUGUAAAUGGGACAAUGCCUGCUCUGCCUUCCCAUCCAUGUAGCUAUAGAGAUUUCUUUCACUCCAUCAUCUAGAAGAGUACAGUGCAGACGAUAAGCAGCUCUCCACUGAGGGAAUAUGAGGACUACAGCCAGGACCUAGACUACAAAAUCUAAUGCCAUAAAGAUUUUCCCUUUUUCACACCCCUAUUUUGUUAUGUCUAGAACCUGGUUCCUUUUCCUUCUAGCCAGUUCCACCUACCCAAGAAUUUACCUGGGCGCUUGGCGCAUAAAAUGCUUCUUUCCUGCUACCCUUUUAAAAAUACUUUUGUACCCCACAGAUACCCCAUUAAAUAUCAUAUAACCAAGGCACAUUAUCUUUCUGUGUGGUGGGCAAUAUUUAGAAUUAAAAUCUGGUAUGUCUAAAAGCACAGUGUGAGAAAUUAUAGAGCCACCACAUCUAUGUGAACACAUUUUAAAUCCAUAUAUGCACAUACAUGUGCACAUGCACACUCAUGCCCUACGUCUUCUUCAUGAAAGCAUUUAAAAUACAUCCAGAACACACACAUUUGGAGUAUAAAAAAAUGUACUGAAAACUAGUGUGCCACAUAAAUUGUUCAGUAGGAGCAAAAGGAUUAAAAGCUUCAUAUUGUGUUUAUGAAACCCAAUCUUUUUGUCUCUGCUCUGUGCAUCCCAUAUCAUAAGAUAAUGAAUAGUUCCAUAGCAACAAAAGUCUACCACUAAACCAUUACCUUGAUUUCAAUUAUUGGGAAGAAAAAACACAUAAAAUAGAAAUACCAGUUCUAAAGAAUGAUUUAAAUAGGCUGAUCCAGACAACAUUUUUAAUCCAAAAAUUAAAAUGCUUAUAAUUUUAUAAUUGAGAAGCAGAACAUUAUAAUUAAUUAAAUAAUGCUGUCUUUAGGUCACAACUUAAAUAUCCUUCAAGCAAUAAUAAAGUCUUUGAACCAAGGUAUUGCUUUGACAUUGAUGCAGAGUUCCAAUUGCUAACAGCUCUCACAAUAUCCAGCAAAAUACAAGGAAGGGUCCAGCUGUCAGGGAGAUCAAGAAGAGAGCAGCAGCCUGUAUUAACUGACUUAAAAGAGAAUUCUUUUUCUACUAGAAGAGAUUCUAAUAAGCUCUCAAAAUCAAGGCAAAUGAUGCAAUUCAAUUUCUUACUGAUCAGUCGCAAACUAAGAAAAUACUUGUACUCAAAGUAAUUAUAGAAACAUUUUCUCUCUCUCAGAUAUUAGAAACCAAAUCACAUUUCCAAAUAACUAAAUAACAAACUGUUCCUUUUAACAAGAGCAUGCUGUUUUUCUGAUGCGAGGUCUUACAGUUUACAUGUUAGUUUCUAUAUGCGUAAAAAACAGCUACUCAUUCUCCUCACAGCAAAAUCCUUAGAGAUUCAAGAGGCAGGGCAUUAGAAGGAAAGAUAUAUGAUAAAUACGUAGUUAAAUAUAUCUCAUGUGAGAACCUUGAAGCAUUUGGUCAUCUCCUAUCUGCACUUUUUCCUAAAAUAUGCAUUUAUGUGUUAUACUUAGUCUCUCCUCUGGCUACACAUGAAAAAACAUAAGCAAAUUACUAUUUCA